UACGUAGGCAGCGAGCGUUGUUCGGAGUUACUGGGCGUAAAGAGCGCGCAGGCGGUCGUUCAAGUCGCGUGUGAAAGCCCCCGGCUCAACUGGGGAGGGUCACGCGAUACUGAUCGACUCGAAGGCAGGAGAGGGUAGUGGAAUUCCCGGUGUAGUGGUGAAAUGCGUAGAUAUCGGGAGGAACACCAGUGGCGAAGGCGACUACCUGGCCUGUUCUUGACGCUGAGGCGCGAAAGCUAGGGGAGCAAACGGG
rnacentral:rRNA from 1 species